rnacentral:rRNA from 1 species
CGCCUAGAUGACAUAUACCGCGUGAGGGAUGAAGCAUCGUGGUGUGUAAACCUCUUUUCUUAAGGAAGAAUCAAUGACGGUACUUAAGGAAUAAGCACCGGCUAACUCUGUGCCAGCAGCCGCGGUAAUACAGAGGGUGCAAGCGUUGUCCGGAAUGAUUGGGCGUAAAGCAUCUGUAGGUGGUUUCUAAAGUCAACUGUUAAAUCCCAGAGCUCAACUUUGGCCAAGCAGUUGAGUACUUAGAGACUUGAGUACGGUAGGGGUAGAGGGAAUUCCUUGUUUAGCGGUGAAAUGCAUAGAGAUAAGGAAGAACACCAGUGGCGAAAGCGCUCUACUGGGCCGUAACUGACACUGAGAGAUGAAAGUUAGGG